CAUACAAGACUGGAAUAAUCAUUUCGAAUUGAAGGUAAUUGUUAUUCAAAAAAUUAACUAUACUUUAGUUCUGACUAUACAUAAACUCAUCAUAGAUACCAUGCCUAAAGGAGUAGGUUCAGUAAGACCCCAUUUUGGCCCCAAAAAUAUGCAGUUUUACAAAAUUUGUGAAAAUGUAAUCUUUAGAUAUUUACUGAAAGAGAAGCUGUGCUACUAAAUAUGGCUGUUUUUGACAAUACAAUGUAAUAUAUCGGGUACUAGCAUCAUUAAGUCAUGCUAAAUUACUGAAUCUUCUCAAUUUUAGCAUUUUAGUUAAAUUUUUAGACGGUUUCCGUGAAAUAAUGGCCUAUUCGUGUUAUUCAUAUAUAAAAUGUAAGUUGUAUUUGGUGAUAAUACAUAACAUAUAUAACGUUGAGGUGAACACGAUGCGGCACUUUCAUUUUGCCAAAAACCAUCUGAAAAGUGACGUUUUUUGGCAUAUUUGAUGAAUUUUUCAUAUCUAAGCUUGAAUUGGAGUGUUUUAAUGACUAAAUCAGUCAAAAUCUUUCCCAAAAACUUAUUGAAAAGUGUCCAAAAUCUUUCGUGAAAUGAACUUGAAAUUUGAGGCCAAAAUCGGCCCUUACGGGACCUACUCCUUUUGUAUAUUGUAUCUACGCUUUCUCAUAAAAAUAUGACGUACCUACGUGAAAUUAAAAAAAAAACUUAUUAUCAUGUUUAUUUAAAUUUUUAUUUUGAUGCAGUGUAUAUGUUUUCGUAGUACCUGAAUACAUUGAACCAAGGGUUGAUUAUGGUAUAGAAUUAUGUAUUUUAAAUUGUUUUACCUAUAUGUGCCGUUGAACCCUGGAUCAUAUAUGGACUUGGGUCUCAUUUUUAGCCCAUCUGGCCCAAAAGGGUUCAGUGAGCUUUUCUCGUCACUAGCUAUAGGCGUCCGUCGUCCAUCGUCGUCGUCGUACGUUAGCUUUAAAAAAAUCUUCUCCUUUUAAACUAAUGAGCCAAAUUGAAUCAAACUUGGCCUAAAUUAUCCUUAGGGUAUCUAGUUUAAAAAUGUAUCCAAUGACCCCGCCAAGUAAUCAAGAUGGCCGCCAUAGCUAAAUACAGAACAUGGUGGUAAAAUUAUCUUUUGGCCUAUAGCUCUGACACUAAAGCACUAAGAGCAAAUCGGACGAAAUAAAAAUGUUCAUUGGGUUAAAAAUCUAUCUACCCUGAACUUUUAGAUGCAUCAGACAAUCUGUUGGUUUGAAAAUGCCUGUACCAAGACAGGAAUAUGACAAUUGUCCAUUCGUUUGAUGUGUUUUAUCAUUUAAUUUUGCUAUUUCAUUAGAGACUUUCCAUUUUGAAUUUUCCUCGGAGUUCAGUAAUUUUACUUUUGUGAUAGGUUGCUGUCCCAGAUUUGGGAAUUUCAAGGAAAUUUUCAUUUUUUAUCUAUUAUCUUCAAUAUUAUAACAUGUAUAAAUGAUAAGUUAAACUGUAAACAGCAAAAUUGAUCAGAAAGUUAACAUCUACAAAGUAUUCCUACAUGACCAAAAUGAUCAAUUGACCCUUUAGAAGUUAUUGCCCUUAUAGUCAAUUCUUUUUAUCAAUAUGAGUAAAUUUUGUAAUUUUUUGUCGAUGUAGUCAAAUGCAGGGUUAACAUUUAUAUAAGACUAAUAUAUGCUCGUCCUGAACAUGCAUGAUACUAAUUUGCCACGGAACAUAAUGCAGCCCCCUCCUCCUCCUCCUCAUCCUCAUUAUCAUCAUCAUAAUAUUUUUUUUAUUUUGAAAUUCUCUUUCGUAUCUGGUGUCUUUUUUUUGAUAGCAGAAUUUAGGGUAGCAAUACACAAUCAUAAGACUUUGUUUAGUUCCGCAGAAGUUUUUGUAUAAUUUAGUUUCACCUCUUGAUAGACAAAUGUCUAUUGUUUUAGGAAAGGCAUCGCUCUAAUAGAUUGAAAAUUGCCUUAGUAUCAAUUUUUGGAGAUUACCCAUCCCCCUUUUUUUGCAAUAUUUUGUAUCAGAUGAAAUAAAUCAUUUCCAUGGUAACAUCAAAAAGGGAUUAAAUUUCACCUUUUAAUUAUUGGAAUCGUCAAUCUAUAGAUGAUUCCCAUUCCAUAUAUACGCUCAUGCAUGACACAAUAUUAAGCCUUAAUUGAGAAAAAGGAAGGAAAUGGGUGGUUACACAUUAUGGGAGUCAAUUUUAAGUUUUUCCUAACUGUGUAUUUCUACCUAAGUGAGUGAUUUUAUCUUUCACUAUGCAGCAUAAUGUGCCUCAUUCAUGUGUUAUUUUGGACUAUACUGAUCUCUACAUCUUUCCUCUAGAUGUCCUUGGAUAGCGUUUUGUUUUUAAAUAACCGAAACCCAAAGUCAUUUGUGGUGUCCCCCACCAUUGAGUGUCGUUAACAUUAUUGUAUUAAUACUGAGGACAUGUUUGAGCUUAAAGCUUUUUAAAUUGAGUAAGUUUUCGGCGAAAAAUAUUUGUAGGACAGGUUAGAUUUGGGAAAGUAAAAAAAUGAGGAUGUGAAAUUAAACAUUUUUGGACGAUUUGGAGUAUAAAGGACUCUUUGGGCGAAAUAACACGUCUUAUAUGACGAAAAAUAUACAAAAAAUCAAUGUUUACUGACGAGUCUGGAGAGUAAAUGGUCAUUACCAUAUACAUAAAGUUUAUUCCUGUAAAAUAAAAGGACGAAAUGCACACGGUUUUUUAAGUUCUAAAAUUAUCUUUCAUCGUUCAAUAUAAUAUCCUUCAAUCAAUAAUGUCUAAAUUUGUGUAAAUAUUAAUCACAUCACUCAUAUUAACAACAACAAAUCUCUUGAAAACAAUUUUAACACAAAUCUUGAAACAAGAAUAAUUUUGCAUUGCCUUUUUCAUUUCAAAUCCUCAAAGGAUUUUAAUUUGAUUUCAUUUUCAUUGCAACUACUUUAAAACCAUACAUCAGAAUUCUGGAGAUAGUUAGGCCAUAUUAUGAUUAGGCUCAUAUAUUUACAAUAAUUGUUAUCAGUGGACUUUUGUAGGAGUUAUGAGCAUCUGUAUUGGUAAAUGGCAUAUCUGGUACUUGUUAGUACAUAAAACCGGUAUAUAUUUUCUAAGAAACACUUUCGACAAGUAAACGAAAUCUUUUACUGAUGAUACUUUAGGAUCAUUAACUGAUUUUCAGUUUUGAUGGACAAACAAAGGUUAGAAAUAACCAUCACAAAAGAAGAGAACUAGAAUCAUACAAAUUAUACGUACAUACAGGUUCUUGGAUACCAUCUAGCAUAUAAAAUAAACGAGUGACAUUUUUCAAAAAACCCUCUUAGUUAGGACUUUAAUGGACUCACCCAACACAUGACUGUAUAACAUAUCAUUCGAAAGCUUAUUUUUUGCACUUUCUGUUUUCCCCUGUCAUAAACAAAUCGAACGGUAUGAAAUUCGUUAAAUCAAGGUCAGAGGUCAAGAAGAAACAUUCCAAUUUAUAUAAAAAUCAUAUCAUGCAGAAAUGGACCUCGAGUAGUCCUCUUCUAAUUUGGAGUUUUUCCUGCUUUCUAACAAAAAAGGAGUAGGGGCAAUAAGGCCCUUAUUUGGCCCAAAAAUUACUGCAAAUUUAAAAGUUAUCAUACAUAUUCUUAAAUUACUGAAAACUUGACAAAAGGUACAAGGUAUUACGAAAAACAAAAUAAAUUUGUCAUUGAACAAGUUACCAUGGCAACAAAUCACGACUUAGUUUGCAUAAUUUCCCAAAUUUUGUGAUUUUCCUCGUUUUUCAUCAAAUUUGAAGUACAUUUUAGAUUGAAAAAGUAUGUGUGCACCAAACAAACAACUUUAAAAUUGGUGAGAAUUUUUCAGAAGUUAUAAUAAAGCUUCUGUGUUAAGUUAUUUUUUUGUUUCUUGGCUGCGCAGGAUGUUUCAACAAUGGAAAUAAAUAUAGAAAACUGCAUAAAUUCUGUAUUUUUCAUCGUUUUUGUGAAGACAGUACAUAUUUUGACGUAAUUGUGACGUCAUAAGAUAAAAAUCUUUAUGUUUUUUAUUUACUAGUAUAUUUCUUGACCCUAUACAUUUCUUGACAUUAUUAGUCAAUUUGAAAUAGUUAACAAACCUUUUAUUUUCUUGGGCCAAAACCAUGCCUUAAUGUCCCUAUUUUAUCAAAAUCAUUUGCUAAUCCAUAUUAUGAUCUUUUUCUUUACGUAAAUCUUCAGCAUUGGAGCACAAACUGCUUACUGUGUUUCCAUAGCGGAUUAGUUCUGACUUAAAAAGUUAAAGUAAUCAUAAAAAACAAAAUUAUGUGAAAAAGAAAACAGCCACCAGAAGGUUGCAUGUGAAAUAGAUUGACUUGCAGGAAAGUACAUACCAUAUACAAAAAGUACUCCUACCUUCGCCGAGAUGCAGAUUAAAUAAUAAAAGCAAUGUCUAUCUAAAUUAAAUCUAUGAAUUGUUGGCACUGAUUAAAUUGACUAAAUGUCUCCUCCAUGAAGGUCUUGAACAUUAAAACUAAAUGUUUAAUAGACGACACUGCAAAGUGUUAUUGUUUGGUACAUGUUGGAUCUCACUGUGCAAACAGGUAUAAAGUAGUUUUUUAACGAAAGUAAAUUUUAAGAAGUUCAGUAGUUUAAGAUUAAUGAAUGCAAAGAUGACGUGAGCCUUAUCUUAUGAUGUGUGAUCUUAGUACAUCGUAUCUUACAAGUUAUUUUAAUCAUUUAUUGACAAUCAAUAUUCAAUAUAUUCUCUGUUAAAAAUAAACGCUUUCUUGUGCCUUUAUCAAUGAUUGCAUUAAUAUGAUUUAAAAUUCGUUAUGUGUUUAUAACACAAUGGGAAGUACUCAUUCAUUCAUCCAAGCUUAGCGACUGUCAAUACAUAAUACGACCUUUUCUGCACUAGAGUGAUAUUAUGAACAACAUAGUUAUAAAAACUGUACAAAGAUUUAUACGGAUGAAUCGUAUUACUAAAUUUAACUUACAUAACUGAAAUAGUGGUUUGAACGUCAUUUGAAUUUUAAAUUAAAAUUGUUUAUGUUGGUUUACGUUGAAUUAUCAAAAUUGUCAUGGAAUUAAAAGGACACAGUGAUAUACUAUUUGAAUUCUUAUUGUAUAACGUGUAUGAUGAACAGUUUUACAAAAUAAACACCCUCCGCUAAUAUGUUGAUUAUAAAUUUCCGUACCAAUAUUGCACAUUUUUUAUCUGAUAUACAAUGCAUCGAAAGCCAUUGUAAACUUAUAAAAGCUAAACUCUGAAAAGAUUGUUGACAAUUUAUAAAAUAGAUAGUUUAUCUCAUGAAUUGAUUCAUCGAUCAUGUUAAGUUCGUGUAAUUCAGUCCUAAGUUUUAUGUGGAAUAUUUUGACAUGAAUAUCAAUUAUAUGGUCAUUCGAUUAAAUUUCCUGUUUACAUUGAUAUUAACUUUCGAAAAGAUUUUCUCAUCCCAUGCAUAGAUUAUCUUAGCUUUAUUUGGCUAAAACCUUUUUGAGAAAAUUUGGUUCUCAAUGUUCUUUGACUUUAUACUUGUUUGGCUGUAUAACCAUUUUGAUCUAAAGGUCACUGAUGAAUCUUAUGAAGACGAAACGGGCGUCUGGCGUAUUAAAUUAUAAGCCUGUUACCUUUGAUAAUAUGCGUAGAUUGUUGUUCGUCGUUGUGUCGUUGUUCUUACUAUUUGGGCCAUAACGUAGAAUAGUAAAUGUUAAAUGCCACUUGGUAUCUUAUUUCUCUUUUAAGUAAUAGAGACUCUCAAAAAAUUACUCAUAAAACACAAAAUAGGAGAUGUACAGUGCAUUAUAUGGUUAACAAUAGUAAAGCGAAUAAUAUUGUGUACGGAUAAAAAAUCCCAGUCAUCAUGUCAAAAUAAAUCUUUUAUAAAACCCAAUUUUUGUCAAGUCUUUCCUUAAGACAUUUAACAUUGUUUAGUCAAAAGUUUAAAUUGUAAAUUCAUCAACACUAGACGACUUUCAACAUCUGCCUGAUUUAUGUAUUUAUAAUUCAAUUAGAGGUUUAUAAAAAGAAGUUUUCUAAAUCUUUAUAUAAUUUCAAUUUGUCGUAUUCUAUAUCCAGACUUCGUGAAUACCGUUCGUAUUUUACCUUCAAUAUCUAGCCAAGUCAUUUAAUAGUGUCUCUUUCUUGUUGGAUAUCGUUUACAUAUCUUUAAAUAUAUCGUUCAUGGAGACGAUAUGCGAACACCUGCGCAAUGGCAUGUUAUUUAAAUUAUACAAAGUCAUGCAGGUUUAUUACUCUGCUUGUGCUCAAAGAAGAAAAAAGAAUUUAAUGCUUAUUGAAUGAGAGGUAGGCAAAACUAUUUAACAUGUUUACAAAAUUUACAAAGAAGAAAUGCAAAGAAUAUUUUUUGUUUAAGCGAUAUAAAUGAUCUGUGUAUUCAAUCCUGGUAAAUGCUUGAACAUAUGGUAAAGACAUAAUAAACAUCGAACUAAGGAUUCUCUACCCCAGGAACUGAUUACAUUAACUGUCAUCAAGCAUCAUACUUUAUGAAGUGUUUUUACUGUGUUAUUACGACUAUGACUGAUGAGUUCUUGUCUAGAUUAAACGUGCGUCUGACUUUCAAAAUUAUAAGCCUGAUAUUUUUGACGAUUUUCUUGUAACCUCUGAGUGGAUGCUACUGAUGUUUGAAUAAUUAACUUGUGUUACCUGAUUUUCAAAAAACAUUCGAAGUUUGUGUACCCAUGCGUUUCAACCUUUUGGCCAUUGAACUUUGUGAUUCAAGCGUGUCACUGAUGAGUAGUUUUUCUGGGGUACACAAUUAAAAGACUGAUAUUUUUUAUUAUUUUUAACAUAUGGUUAUCAUAGUAACGUUGACUAUGUCAUAAAUAUUUCUUAAAAGCGAUGGGGUUUAAUUUUCAUAAGCUAUAUAAUAAAUCCGUUUUCCGGAAAUUCAAAUGGUUAUUUCAUCCAGACAUGAUGAGUUUUCAUAAUUUGGUAUGCAAGUGAGGACACAGAUCAUCGUGGAUAAUAUAUUUGGAUAUUUGACAGUAUUUUCUAACAAAAAGAGUUUUCUGCUUUUGUUUGAUAAACUGAGUUUCACUGUGACAGCCAACGUGUACCAAACCUCUUGAAAUAAGCAGUGUCGUUUAUCUAAGGAUUGAUUAGUUUUAAUGUUCAAAACUGUAAUGGAAGAGACAAUUAUUACAUAUGCUAUCAAUGAUUAGGAUAUAUUAUUAUCCACAACUUUGAAUUUGCAUUUGCAUUAAAAAUUCUAAAUCAGGAGAAGAACUCAUUCGAUGAUUUUCUACAUGAUGUGAUUUUAUUAUGUAUGAUUGUAUAUAAUAACUGGCAUAAAACCUCAAAGUAUAUUGCAAAUGUCAUACAAUUUAGAGGUUUAUCGCUAUUAACCAGGUUCAAUCCACCAUUUUCUAGAUAAGAAAAUGUCUCUACCAAGUCAGAAAUAUCACAGUUGUUGUCCAUUCGUUUGAAGUGUUUGAGCUUUAAUUUUGCCAUUUGAUUAGGGACUUUCCGUUUUGAAUUUUCCUCGGAGUUCAGUACUUUGUGAUUUUACCUUUUGCCAUCUUAUUUAACAUGGUAUGUUAAAGUGUAUUGACUUACUUCAUACUUAUACAUAUACUGUAUGAUUGUAUAGUUAUUGAGACAAAUCCAUGCACCAGGAGGUUCAAAAGUAUUCGUUUGUUGUUGUGGUUCAUAUGUGUUUUUGGUUUCUCGUAUUUUUUAAUAGAUUCAAUCGUUGUUUUUCCGUUUUGAAUGGUUUUUAUAAUUGUCAUUUUUGGGACCCGUUAUAACUUAAUGUUCGGUGUAAACCAAGGCUCUGUGUUGAAGACAGUACUUUGACCUAUAAUCAUUAUUGUUUAAAUUUGCAAAUUUUGUAAGUUUUACUUUUAAUUUUUUUUUCAUCACGGCGGCGCUGGUUAGUCUUGUGUGGACGUGGCGCGCGUCUGGCGUAUUUAAUUUUUAACCAGGUACCUGUUGUUGGCCAUUAAUCGUUUGUUUCUCUGUCCUAUAUUUUUUGCCAUUUAUUUGUAUUGUAGUCCUAUCAUGUAAUGUUUUCAUUUUAAUGUUACAAUUGACAUUACCAUUAAAGCGGGAGGUUUGGCAUGCAACAAAACCAGGUAUAACCCACCAUUUUUUUUUCUUCAAAUGCCCUGUACCAAGUCCGGGAAAUGGCAAUUGUUAUAUUAUAGUUCGUGUCUGUGUGUGUUACAUUUUAAUGUUGUGUUCCUGUUGUGUCGUAGUUCUCUUAUAUUUGAUGCUUUUCCCUCGGUUUUAGUUUGUAUCUCGGAUGUGUUUUUUCUCUAUCGACUUAUGAAUUUCGAACAGCGGUAUACUACUGUUGUCUUUAUUUGACUUGAAUGAGAGAAUUGUCUCAUUUGUACUGAUAACAAAUCUUCUUAGUUCUAUCACUGCCAGCGAAAAGAAACACUAGUUUACAAUUUUAAUCCUUUGGUAAAAGUUAUUGCCAUACGACGAUUGUUAGUUUGUUUGGUCGUCAAUAUCAAAUACUAUGUUAAAAAGAACCUUAUUCAUCUCACUAUCCAACUGCUCCUCUGUAUCUAUAUCUAACAACGUUCCUUUUUAUCAAGAAUAAAUAAUAUCUUCCCAUUUCUUUGAGCGAGUUUACGAGUGAGACAUUGAUUACCAAUUGGUUGUCACUGCUGCAAUGACGUUUGGUAAUUUACCAUUACAUUUGAAUUUUAUGAGCUUUUUGUUUUAACGACAACCGUUUUUCCUUUUUCAAUUCUUCAAAUAUAAUUAUUGUAAACAGAGAGAAAGAUUAUUAAUGAAAAUAUUAAUGUAUAAUGCAUUUGUUGUUUUAAUCACUUGUCUAUUAUGAACAUAAUGCUCAAAUAUCUUUCAAAUUAUAUAAUUAAAAUACCUAACUGUUAAAAAAACAAAUGAUCGACAUUGAUCGUGGCAAGAAAUUGAGAAUAGAUACAACCGUCAACUGACAAUUUAUAAGUGUUUUUGUCCUUAAGUAAAGAUGUUGACAGAUGUCGGUAUAUUUCUGAACUUUUAAUGGUUAAACAGAUGUCAUACACACCUAAAUUAAGCAAAAAAUUUAAUAUCUACAAAAGCCACCAUUGAUUAAAAAAUAUCUAUGUUUUGCCUUUCGUAAAGUUUUAAGAAAAUAAAAAUAAACAGAAACAGAAUGCAUCAACAUGAUAACAAACAUUUAAGAUCAAAAUACCGGUUAUUGAAACAUCACGUUUCUGUAGUGGCUAUUACUAUUCUUCUAAGUACUACCUGCUAUCUACUGAUUGUAGUUUGGUAAUCUUCCAAUAGAAUAAUUUUUAGAAAGACAAAUCAAACCCAUGAAAGUGUAGACCGACAAACAUCAUCAACGACUUACAACUGCCAUACAAGUUGAGUUUUUAGCUAGUAUAAAACCAGGUUUAAUCAACCAUUUUAUACAUAAGGGAAUGCAUGUACAAAAUCUGGAAUAUGACAGUUAUUUCCCAUUCGUUUGAUGUGUAUGAGCUUUUGAUUUUGCCAUUUGAUAAUGGACUUUCCGUUUUUUAUUUUCCUUUAAAUUCGGUAUUUUUGAUAUUUUACUUUGUAGAGUGUCUUAAAAAAUGAGAAUAUGAUUAAUCACAAGUUUGCUCCCAGUUAGGUUUGAUUAAAGAUAUGACAUUUCUAGCUCUAAAGUCUGUUAUCUCGAAAAUAAGAAAUAAAAAGAGUAGACAGAAGGUUUUAACAAUUAAUAUUAUUUUCAAGACUAGAUUUAUGUACACAUUUCUUGACAUAGAUUGUCAAGUGGUAUUUUAUUUUAGUCAUUAGCAUUCAAAAUUUACUUUUUAUUAACUGUAGUUAAUUUUUGAUUUUUAUAAAAAAAAAAAAUAUUACUAGUUGGAAUUGAAACAGCUAAAAUGAUACACAAACUCAUUGAGAUCAAAAGUUCAUUUCUUGUAUAUAAUCAGAGUGGUGCAUCGGGAUCCUGUUGUUUAGAGAACUAUGUUCUUGUCAAAUGAGUAAAAUAGUUUCUGAUACCUUGGGCCUGAAAUAAUACUUGUUACAGUAAUGGAAAUGUAUCUUAUUUUACAGAUUCCUUCAACUAUAUUUUUAUUAUGUGAAGUUCAUGUUUGAUGGUAGGCUAGUUGAUGCUGCUUGUUAUUUUUUACUACUAUAACAAUUACCUUGUAUUUUUAUAAUCAUUACUUAUCUUCUUUUUGUAGAGUUUUCUUUAUGGCGUCAUCCUUCCACAGCUGUGGUGUGUGUGAACUCCGACUCAUCACCAAUUCAUGCAUAGUCUGGUGUACGGAAUGUGAUGAAGGACUAUGUAAAGAAUGUCAUGAACAUCAUAGAUUGUCAAAGGCUUCGAGGAACCAUAGUGUGAUACCAUUUACGGAUUACCAAAAAUUACCGACAGAUGUUCUGAAAAUCAGUCAAUACUGUAGCAAACACAAUAAAAAGUUUGAAAUGUUUUGCCAGAAACACGAACGACCUUGCUGCAGUAAAUGUAUAGUAGAAACACUUAAAGAAUGUCGGGAUAUCGUCGAUUUAGAUGACGUAAUUAAGAAUUACGAAACCCCCAGUGCCCCAUCUGAGAUUGAGAAAACAUUAGUUGAACUAGCAGAAAAUCUACAAAAAAUUCGCCAAUAUCAACAUGACAAUAUGUCGACUUUGAAAGAAAAAAGAAAGAAAAUUGAAAAAGAAAUUACGAGGACAAGAACGGAGAUCAACAACCAUCUCAAUAAAAUUGAAGAAGAUUUUAUGAAACAACUCUAUGUCCUCGAAGAAAAAGAAAACUCGAAAAUUGGUCAGUUAUUGUCAUUAUUAGAAAAGAAAGAAAAUGAAGUUGAAGAAUGCCAGAAAUAUAUUAUUAACAUCAAACAACAUGCCACAAAUCUUCAGAUGUUCUUUUCAGUGAAACAAAUCGAGGAAGACGUCUCUAACAAAGAUAAAUUCCUGCACUCCUUAUUUGAAGGUGAGGAUUUAACCCAGCAUUUUCUGGAAUUCGACAUAAAUGGAGCCUUUCAGAAAAUCAUGUUUGAUAUAAAACGUUUUAGGGAAGUACAUAUUGAAGAACAACCUGCCGAUAUUGUUCUAAGCAGAAAGAAGGCGAAAGAAGCCCAGAUAAUAGUACCGAUCGUUCAAUCAAGAUCUUUUGAAAACAUUAAUUUGAAGAUAAACAAGACAAUUAACCUGCAAGGUAGCUGGAUUUACGGUUGUUGCAUGCUGCCAGAUGGUAGAUUGGUGUUUACCUACAACCAUGAAGGAAAAUUAAGAGUAUUCAACGAUCAAGGAUCAAAAGAAUUUGAGAUGAAGAUACCAUGUGGAGCGUUUGAUUUGGUAUACAUUAGCAAUGACAAUACAUUGGUUGUAACAUCCGGUGAAUCAUGCAAGCAAUGUCUUUCCAUUGUAGACUUGAAGAAGAAAAAAAUUAAGAAAACAAUAUCACUGAGUUCGGAUAACUAUGGCAUGGUAUUAAAGGACAAUCAAUUGAUUUAUUCCGCCUUCAACAAAGGUAUACGAAUGAUAAAUCUACACGACGAGUCUUUGACCGACAUUGUCCGAGAAGAAAUGCCAACGGAAGGUUACACUGCGAUAUUUAAAGACAACAUUUAUCAUACAAACAGAAUAAGUCACACUGUUAAAUGUUACAACUUACAAGGUGAAAUACAAUGGACAUUCAAAAAUGAAGACGUUCUGAAAAAUCCCCUUGGUAUUGAUGUAGAUAGUGAUGGUAACUUGUAUGUGGCAGGGAUUCAUUCGAACAAUGUUGUUAUUAUCUCCAACGAUGGACAAAUGUAUCGAGAGCUAUUGGCAGCAGGUGUUGGUUUUCGAUAUCCCAUCGCACUCCGUUAUUAUGGACAUAAGAAACAAUUGCUAGUGGCAAAUAUUCACGACGAGGCUCGACUGUUUGAUUUGAUUUAACAUGUUUA
rnacentral:lncRNA from 1 species